AACGAACGCUGGCGGCAUGCCUAACACAUGCAAGUCGAACGAGACCUUCGGGUCUAGUGGCGCACGGGUGCGUAACGCGUGGGAACCUGCCCUUAGGUUCGGAAUAACUCCCCGAAAGGGGUGCUAAUACCGGAUAAUGUCUUCGGACCAAAGAUUCAUCGCCUUUGGAUGGGCCCGCGUUGGAUUAGCUAGUUGGUAGGGUAAAAGCCUACCAAGGCGACGAUCCAUAGCUGGUCUGAGAGGAUGAUCAGCCACACUGGGACUGAGACACGGCCCAGACUCCUGCGGGAGGCAGCAGUGGGGAAUAUUGGACAAUGGGCGAAAGCAUGAUCCAGCAAUGCCGCGUGAGUGAUGAAGGCCUUAGGGUUGUAAAGCUCUUUUACCCGGGAUGAUAAUGACAGUACCGGGAGAAUAAGCGCCGGCUAACUCCGUG
rnacentral:rRNA from 1 species